GGGGCCCCCCCCCCCUAGUACGGUGGAGUGACCUGCAUGCUCCGUGAAUUCAGCUGGUGAGAUUGUUGUUGGGCUUGGUCAAGUGGGGUAGACACUGAGGUAUGCUUAGCUGCAUGUCCCGGCCUGCAGGUUGGGAUGCGCGAUACGCUCAUCAUGCGUUGCGCGCCUCUGUUGUUUAUCUGCCCUCUCGCCAGUGCAUUUUCGCGGAGUGAUCACCAAGAUCGGCGUUGCUGUCCGGCUGCUUCAGUUAAACCGGUCUUACGCGUCCUUGCGGCGUUGUUUGGUCGGGACGGCAGGUAGCCUGUUAGCUUGCUCUGCUUGCUUUCGGGUAUAAUCAGCUGACUGAGGUGGGACUGUGCAGUGCGUCGGAGCUGGCGGCCAGUUGUGCAUGCUCGUGUGUCAUGCCUUCCGAAGGAUCCUGUUUUGAUCGCUAUGUUGCCUGUUUCGGCGGGUCUAGCGGUAGACGGGGUUCUCUUGGUUGGUGGUUCCGCGGGUUGCACUUUACAGGGCCAAAAGUCUUUGGUGUCGUGGUAGACUAUCCACCUGACCCGUCUUGAAACACGGACCAAGGAGAGUAACAUGUGCGCGAGUCAUUGGGUGUAACGAAACCCAAAGGCGUAGUGAAAGUAAAGGGCUGGCUUGUUCAGUCUGAGGUGAGAUCCUGUCGUUUCUCAUGCGUGGUACCACCAAGCUUGGAGCGAUAGGCGCAUCACCGGCCCGUCCCAUGAUGUAGACACGGUCAUUGUACUCGUGCACCGUCGGGGCGGAGCAUGAGCGCACACGUUGAGACCCGAAAGAUGGUGAACUAUGCUUGCGCAGGUUGAAGCCAGAGGAAACUCUGGUGGAGGACCGCAGCGAUUCUGACGUGCAAAUCGAUCGUCAAACGUGAGUAUAGGGGCGAAAGACUAAUCGACCUCUAUCAGUGUCCACCCCCCCCCCUAGC
rnacentral:rRNA from 1 species